rnacentral:tRNA from 1 species
GCCGGAAUAGUUCAGUUAGGAGAGCGUUAGACUGAAGUUGUUUACAAAACAAUCAUCUAAAGGCCUCCGGUUCAAUUCCGGGUUCCGGCA